rnacentral:rRNA from 1 species
GAUGAACGCUGGCGGCGUGCCUAAUACAUGCAAGUAGAACGCUGAAGGAGGAGCUUGCUCUUCUGGAUGAGUUGCGAACGGGUGAGUAACGCGUAGGUAACCUGCCUGGUAGCGGGGGAUAACUAUUGGAAACGACAGCUAAUACCGCAUGACAACAGUUAUUGCAUGAUAACUGUUUAAAAGGGGCAACUGCUCCACUACCAGAUGGACCUGCGUUGUAUUAGCUAGUUGGUGAGGUAACGGCUCACCAAGGCGACGAUACAUAGCCGACCUGAGAGGGUGAUCGGCCACACUGGGACUGAGACGCGGCCCAGACUCCUACGGGAGGCAGCAGUAGGGAAUCUUCGGCAAUGGACGGAAGUCUGACCGAGCAACGCCGCGUGAGUGAAGAAGGUUUUCGGAUCGUAAAGCUCUGUUGUAAGAGAAGAACGAGUGUGAGAGUGGAAAGUUCACACUGUGACGGUAUCUUACCAGAAAGGGACGGCUAACUACGUG